rnacentral:lncRNA from 1 species
AUUUAGAGUUUAGGAUUUAUCCAAGGGUUUAGGGUUUACCCAAGAGUUUAUAGUUUACCCAAGGGUUCAGGGUUUAGGAUUUAGGAUUUAGGGUUUAGGAAUUAGGAUUUAGGGUUUAGUGUUUUGCUGCGACGUUAAAAAAAAAAUUAAUUCUUUUUUCUGUAACUACUAUUUUUUUUUUACUUUUAUAUUUUAAAAACAUAAUAUAACUUGCCAAUAUUUUAUUUUCUUUUUUAAAAGAUAUCGAAUUUUAAAUAGUGA